CGACACGAGAUAAACAAUAAUAUUGCCAUACCGUCGUAAAUGUAUACUUGUUUCCUCACAUGUGAACGUUUACUCGCAAGUCAAGUACACGCGUAUUUACAAACCGUAUCCAAACUUCGGUCCAAACUGCGGUAAAAGUAAAUAAAUGCGACCCGUCGUGAUUUUUCAUAUAGGAUUUAGGUUUACGCUUAGGACACUAAUUUCAUUGGAUCCUGUUUAAUAUAUAGUUAAUAUACGCUUCCCGUGUACCAAAAAAAAAAAAAA